GCCGGGGUGGCCGAGCGGCCCAAGGCGCGGGACUUGAGGCCCAGAAGCUGGAGAUCCCGUCCCCGUUCAGGGGGCGUGGGUUCAAAUCCCACCCCCGGCG
rnacentral:tRNA from 1 species